rnacentral:rRNA from 1 species
GUGGGGAAUCUUCCACAAUGGACGAAAGUCUGAUGGAGCAACGCCGCGUGAGUGAAGAAGGUUUUCGGCUCGUAAAGCUCUGUUGUCGGGGACGAAUGUGCAGUAUUUGAAUAAAGUAGUGCAAUGACGGUACCUGACGAGGAAGCCACGGCUAACUACGUGCCAGCAGCCGCGGUAAUACGUAGGUGGCAAGCGUUGUCCGGAAUUAUUGGGCGUAAAGGGAGCGCAGGCGGGAAGGUAAGUCGGUCUUAAAAGUGCGGGGCUCAACCCCGUGAUGGGAUCGAAACUAUCUUUCUUGAGUGCAGGAGAGGAAAGUGGAAUUCCUAGUGUAGCGGUGAAAUGCGUAGAUAUUAGGAGGAACACCAGUGGCGAAGGCGACUUUCUGGACUGUAACUGACGCUGAGGCUCGAAAGCCAGGGGAGCGAACGGGAUUAGAAACCCGGGUAGUCC